rnacentral:sRNA from 1 species
GGCCGAUCCGGCGGUGCAAGUGGCUCGUCCGGUUGGUCUAGUCCGAUCGCAAGAACCGCAAUUUGCGGUACCUUGAAGUU